AUUACUUUUAUACCUAAGAAAGAGUGGUCCAUGAAGGUGUCUGAUUUUUGAUUUUUUAGUCUGAUCAGUAUGUGUACAAAAUUAUUCCCAAAGUUCUUCCCCAAAUGUUAAUUGAGGUAUUGAAUGAGAACUAUAGUGCUUUUGCGGGAGUAGGAAAACUAUGGAUGCAUCCUGGAGGUGGUGGAAGAUGUUAGAAGAUUGCGAUAUGCUAAGUUAGUUCGCAAGUUGGAUUUUGUGAAGGUGUAUGAUUGCGUGAAUUGGGUUUUCCUUGAGAAAUUCUUGG
rnacentral:lncRNA from 1 species